rnacentral:rRNA from 1 species
UACAGAGGGUGCGAGCGUUGUUCGGAAUUAUUGGGCGUAAAGGGCUCGUAGGCGGCCAACUAAGUCAGACGUGAAAUCCCUCGGCUUAACCGGGGAACUGCCUCUGAUACUGGAUGGCUUGAGAUUGGGAGAGGGAUGCGGAAUUCCUGGUGUAGCGGUGAAAUGCGCAGAUAUCAGGAGGAACACCAAUGGGCGAAGGCAGCUCACUGGGACGGUACUGACGCUGAGAACGGCGAAAGCGUGGGGAGAACAGGA